GACGAACGCUGGCGGCGUGCGUAAUACAUGCAAGUCGAGCGGACUGGCUUUCGGGCCAGUUAGCGGCGGACGGGUGAGUAACGCGUGAGUGACCUGGCCUGAUGGUGGGGGAUAACUGCCCGAAAGGGUGGCUAAUCCCGCAUACGUCCUUCCGGUCGGACGGAAGGGGAAAGCUUCAGCAAUGAGGCGCCUUAGGGGGGGCUUGCGUCCCAUUAGGUGGUUGGUGGGGUAGUGGCCUACCAAGCCGAUGAUGGGUAGCUGGUCUGAGAGGAUGGCC
rnacentral:rRNA from 1 species